AUUGAACGCUGGCGGCAUGCCUUACACAUGCAAGUCGAACGGCAGCACGGGGGCAACCCUGGUGGCGAGUGGCGAACGGGUGAGUAAUGCAUCGGAACGUGCCCGAUAGUGGGGGAUAGCUCGGCGAAAGCCGGAUUAAUACCGCAUACGACCUACGGGUGAAAGCGGGGGAUCGCAAGACCUCGCGCUAUCAGAGCGGCCGAUGUCAGAUUUAGGUUGUUGGUGGGGAAAAGGCCGUACCAAGCCGACGAUCUGUAGCUGGUCUGAGAGGACGGACCAGCCACACUGGGACUGAGACACGGCCCAGACUCCUACGGGAGGCAGCAGUGGGGUAAGUUUUGGACAAUGGGCGGAAAAGCCUGAUCCAGCCAUGCCGCGUGCGGGAAGAAGGCC
rnacentral:rRNA from 1 species